GAUGAACGCUGGCGGCGUGCCUAAUACAUGCAAGUCGAACGCUGGAAAUCUAGCUUGCUAGAUGGAAGGAGUGGCGAACGGGUGAGUAAUAAAUAAGCAACCUACCCACGAAGACUGGGAUAAUAUCUGGAAACGGGGACUAAUACCGGAUAGGUAAUCGGAAGGCAUCUUCUGAUUAUUAAAGGUUAAAAACACUGGUGGAUGGGCUUAUGGCGCAUUAGUUAGUUGGUGAGGUAACGGCCCACCAAGACGAUGAUGCGUAGCCGGCCUGAGAGGGUGAACGGCCACAUUGGAACGGGGACACGGCCCAGACUACUAAGAGAGGCAGCAGUAGGGAAUUGUCGGCAAUGGGGGAAACCCCGACCGAGCAACGCCGCGUGAGUGAUGACGGCCUUCGGGUUGUAAAGCUCUGUUGUAAGGGAAGAACGGUAGAUAGAGAAUAUCUAAAUGACGGUACCUUACCAGAAAGCCACGGCUAACUACGUG
rnacentral:rRNA from 1 species